CAAUCCUACCUACAAGGGAAAAUCUGGAGCCAGUACCUUUUCUCCAUAUAUCCUUCAGACACAUUUGAUGACUCAUGUUCCCAUCGCUACAGAUACAUCUAAACUUCAUCCAGCAGGAACCUGAUAUGCAAGAGCUUUUUACAAUUGGCCUACUGUAGGAAUGGGGAUUUAAUCACAUUAAUAUCUUAAGAGGACUUCUUAAGGAGAUGUCAUUUCCAGUCUUGCCGUGGCUCUCCUAAUUACAAAGCCAGAUGUGCCACUGGGGCCCAUUGCUGUAGACUUCCACACCACUGAUUCACAGGCAACUGAGACCCAAACAUCCAAUCUUGCAGCAUGUGACCAAGAUACCAUCUCCAGUUUGUCACAAUACAUUCUAACAAGCGAGUAAUUUCUAUGCAGUUCUUGCCUGUCUUGAGCACUGAAUCAGCAAAAGUAAACACAUAAAGUGGACAGUUUUAUCAUCACAAUUCUUACCAGUCACUUUCCCUAAGGGGACAUGGGGAACAAUUGAAUCCUCUGUUCCGUUAUCCUGCUAUUUUUGAGUCUUAGUGGCAUGUGGCCUGUCUAUCAUACCUAAAAGUACUCAACCUCCAGAAAACCUUUUUUUCCAAUUAUAGGCUUGAAGGCAUGCUAACUUUUCUGUGAAGAAGAGCACUGUUCAGACCAAAGGGGAGUGACUACCUUCUCAGUGAAAUUCAGAAAAAUGGAGCAAU
rnacentral:lncRNA from 12 species